GUCGAACGAUGAAGCUGGAGCUUGCUCCGGUGGAUUAGUGGCGAACGGGUGAGUAACACGUGAGAAAUCUGCCCCUGACUCUGGGAUAACUGCGGGAAACUGUAGCUAAUACCGGAUACUUUCCCUGGUGGGCAUCCACUGGGGAAGAAAGAAUUUCGGUCAGGGAGGAUCUCGCGGCCUAUCAGCUAGUUGGUGAGGUAACGGCUCACCAAGGCGACGACGGGUAACCGGCCUGAGAGGGUGACCGGUCACACUGGGACUGAGACACGGCCCAGACUCCUACGGGAGGCAGCAGUGGGGAAUAUUGCACAAUGGGCGCAAGCCUGAUGCAGCAACGCCGCGUGAGGGAUGAAGGCCUUCGGGUUGUAAACCUCUCUUAGCAGGGAAGAAGCGAAAGUGACGGUACCUGCAGAAAAAGCACCGGCUAACUACGUGCCAGCAGCCGCGGUAAUACGUAGGGUGCAAGCGUUGUCCGGAAUUAUUGGGCGUAAAGAGCUCGUAGGCGGUUUGUCACGUCUGCUGUGAAAAUCCAAGGCUCAACCUUGGACUUGCAGUGGGUACGGGCAGGCUAGAGUGCGGUAGGGGAGAUGGGAAUUCCUGGUGUAGCGGUGGAAUGCGCAGAUAUCAGGAGGAACACCAAUGGCGAAGGCACAUCUCUGGGCCGUAACUGACGCUGAGGAGCGAAAGCGUGGGGAGCGAACAGGAUUAGAUACCCUGGUAGUCCACGCCGUAAACGGUGGGUGCUAGCUGUGGGCCACAUUCCACGUGGUCCGUGACGAAGUUAACACAUUAAGCACCCCGCCUGGGGAGUACGGCCGCAAGGCUAAAACUCAAAGGAAUUGACGGGGGCCCGCACAAGCGGCGGAGCAUGCGGAUUAAUUCGAUGCAACGCGAAGAACCUUACCAAGGCUUGACAUAUAGAGGAAAAGUGCAGAAAUGCACUCCCCGCGAGGUCUCUAUACAGGUGGUGCAUGGUUGUCGUCAGCUCGUGUCGUGAGAUGUUGGGUUAAGUCCCGCAACGAGCGCAACCCUCGUCCUAUGUUGCCAGCACGUAAUG
rnacentral:rRNA from 1 species